GAGAUUGAGAAAAAAUUGAUGAGAUAGUGCAAAUGAAGGAUUGAGAUGAUAAGAGAAUGUAUUUCUCUAGAUUGUGUUCCUUUGGAGGGAUAGAAUUGUAUAGAGAGGCGAAGAAUUGGUUUUAGGGCUAUGAUAAAAUCAUAAGAGAUUUCAAGGUUAAUGAAUUUGAGAUGGCAUGAUUUCAUUGCGUAAGAGAUAUAAAGAGAGAAUUGAAAAUGUAGAAGGUGGAGAUGUAAGAAGGGUGGGUUUGUUUAAUUAUGUUUCUUGGGAAUGCUAGUAUUAGAGUAAAGCGAAGAAUGUUAGGAUUAGGGGAGUGAUGAGGAGGUGAGCUAGAUGGAGGAAUUUGAUUGGAUCCUACCCUCCUCCAAGCAUUGGUGAUGUGGAGGUUGAUGGAUGGUUGCAAUGUUAUAGAAGAAGGGAGUGUCAACUAAUUGUAUAACUUGAUGGUAGUAUUGAUGUGAAUGCUAUUAGAUUUAGGAGUAAGAUUUAGGUUACUUGAUUUUUUGGGGAAGGAUAAGAGGACCAAACAUAGCAUACCAAUAUUAAUUAGGAAAUGCACGUCAAGGAUUUGGAAUCUAAAUCAAUAACAUUAGUUACGAAAAAAAAUCUUAGUCAUUUAGUGGAACAAGGAUUCAAUGUGACAAGAGAAGAGUAAGGAAGAAAUUAAAUUAGUUAGAAGAAAUAAUGAUGUCCAGAUCUC
rnacentral:lncRNA from 1 species